AGGAAAAAAUGCUGUUCAUCAGUCUGUAGCACAGGAGUUAUUUUGUAAAAUAACUCAAGGUUUUUUCAGUUCAGGCCAGUUUUUGCAAGUGUGUGUCUCUUUGCGAGCCGUGUGUAGGCCUAAUUCCUUCAAUCCAACAAUUUUCUCUUUCAGGAGAGAAUAAAAGCAACCGUUAAACUUAAUUUCCCGUCUGCCUUCUCUGCCACUAACUAAGUUUAAUUUCCUACGGUUCCCCGAAUGCCUUCCAUCAACCUCCAGAGAACAGUUAUGGAAACAUAAAUUUUCCUUUCGCGUCAUCUUAUUAAUGAAGACUGGGGUGUGUCUGAUUGCAGGCAUGUUGCUGCGUUUCAUUCUGAUCAAUUAAAUCGGUUAAGUCGGUGUACAAAUUAGCCUACGUGCUUCUCCUCGGAGGAUAUUUCUCCCUGUAUGAUUGUUGAACAUUGGUGUUGGACGACUUCUCUUUAAAGCAGAGGUUUUCAAACUGUGGGGAGGUGCGGGAGAGUUGAAGGGGAGGCAUGGAGGGACAGAGGUGAGGCAAAGAUAAAGAGACAGGUGCAUGUCUAAAAACAACAGGAAGUUAAUUAUUGUAGUUUGGCUGCUGAUUUGGCUGCUUAUCAACGCGGUCGGCAGUUGGAGCUGCAGCAGUGGCUGCGACACACAGAUCACGGAUGUGAUUAAGAUCCUUUAAAACCCUUAGCCCUUAACGCACAGACAUGAAACACAUAUUGAUAUCAUUCAGUGUGACUUCCAAGGAUAUAUCGAAUAAACGUCCACAAAUCCACUUAGAUGUCAUAGAAAAAAGAUGCUCCUUAUCACUCCAGAAACUGAAAUAGAGUAACAAACUUUUCUUAUGCAGGACUGACAAAUAAAAUGAACCCCCCCAAACAAACUGAGCUCAAGGCCCCCCUCUGAUAACUGCUUGUUUAAAUUGGGUUGAUUUCCCCCUUUUAGAAGUCAAAUAAGGGAGUGCUGCAUUUGAUAAGGAGUCACUCAGUUAACACGAGAGGUCAAACAGCCAAGGAGCUGUGGUCUGCCUGUCUUUGAGAUUAAUUAUUGAAUCAAUAAACCCUCACGUUUAACUCUGAUAACCUCUCUCUGUCUCUUUCAGGCUCCAAGGUGAAGCGACUGGUAUUUCCAGUUGGACUCAUGGCUCUGAGCGCCUCCAUGUUUUACCCUCAGCAGGCUGCGUCCUUACUCAAGACUCAUCGUGUGUGUGGAGGUCACGUCCUGUUGUUGCGGCUGCAGCAGUUCCUCAUUCGCACCCGCAGAAAGUUUACUGUCGAAUGUGACACUUGAGGUACUUGUACUUUACGCGAGUAUUUCCAUUUUAUGCUACUUUAUACUUCCACUCCACUACAUUUUAUGGAUAACGUUAGUUACUUUGCAGAUUCAGAUUAUUAAUUCAAAAUAUAAUCAAGAAAUAAACGAGGAUGUGUUAUUGAUAGAGUACUUUUUGUACCUUAAGUAUAGUUUGAUGCUAAUAUAUUUGUACUUUUACUCAAGUAAAAGAUCUGAGUACUUGUUCCACCACUUCCCUAAAAACAGAUGUGAAUGCUGCUGAAGUUACUUGAAGAGUGUCUGUGUCUCUGUACUGAAUAUUCUGGUUUAAUCUCAUUUCCUCUCUUCUCCUUUUCUCUGUCUGCUUUUGAUUUAUCUUCGGACCACUGAUGUAAUGUUUCUGCAGACAGAACGGAGGACAUGAUGUAACUCUCCUCUGCUGUUUGACAGUUGUUUACCCUCCUCCAUUAAAAAAAAACUUGAUUUGAA